GCCUAUCAGCUUGUUGGCGGGGUAAUGGCCCACCAAGGCGACGACGGGUAGCUGGUCUGAGAGGAUGGCCAGCCACAUUGGGACUGAGAGACGGCCCAGACUCCUACGGGAGGCAGCAGUGGGGAAUCUUGCGCAAUGGCCGAAAGGCUGACGCAGCGACGCCGCGUGUGGGAGGACGCCUUUCGGGGUGUAAACCACUGUUGCCCGGGACGAACAGCCCUUUUCGAGGGGUCUGACGGUACCGGGUGAGGAAGCACCGGCUAACUCCGUGCCAGCAGCCGCGGUAAUACGGAGGGUGCAAGCGUUGUCCGGAAUCACUGGGCGUAAAGGGCGCGUAGGCGGCUCAUAAAGGCUGUGGUGAAAGUUCGGGGCUCAACCUCGAAUCGGCCGUGGCGACUUGUGGGCUGGAGCACUGUAGAGGCAGGUGGAAUUCCGGGUGUAGCGGUGGAAUGCGUAGAGAUCCGGAAGAACACCAGUGGCGAAGGCGGCCUGCUGGGCAGUGGCUGACGCUGAGGCGCGACAGCGUGGGGAGCAAACAGGAUUAGAUACCCUGGUAGUCCACGCCGUAAACGAUGGGCACUAGGUGCUUGGGGGAGCGACCCUCUGAGUGCCGGCGCUGACGCAUUAAGUGCCCCGCCUGGGGAGUACGG
rnacentral:rRNA from 1 species